ensembl:lincRNA
CUGGCCGCUGCCUUCUCGGACCCAGGGUCUUCGGCCUGGGCUCCACACCUCAGGCCCCUCAAGUAAUUGGCCUCUUGGUGGCCGGGCACUGCCUUUCCGGCUGCUCUCUGCACCCGUCUGCCCCUCCGGCCUCCCCCUGGCGGCUACAGGCGUCCGGGGCCCUCGCUCCCCAGCUCCAGGCGUCCCGGGAGCCAGGCGCGCAGCGGGGCGAGUUCUUGUGUCCGUGUGAGCGCGGACGUGUGUAUGCGUGCGCGUGCACGAGCGUGAGUGUGCGUGAGCGUGAGUUUGAGUGUGCGUGAGGGUGUGAAUGUGUACAUGUACACGAAUGUGAGUGUGAGUGUGCAUGAGCGUGAGCGUGCGUGUGCGUGCGAGUGUGCACGAGCGUGACUGUGAGUGUGCGUGCGUGGAAGCGCGGCGGGGAGCCUGGCUGAAGGCCUGCUGCCUGCAUGGCUGUCAGAGAAAAACAGAAGUGGGAGCCUGCUGCGGGCUCCGAGAGGACUUGAUGGGAGCCCUGGCGCGCGCUGGGCACCGCGCGGUGGGCCCAGCCCAGUUAUGAACAUGUUGAGACCUAGGAGGCCAAGAGGACCCACCUAAAACCCUCCCCCGUUAAGGGCUGAUGUGGUACCCCUGCAAACCCACUCCCUCGGGGCAGGAGAUGCCUUCUCUGCAGAGUCCUGUUUCUGAAAUCUGUGCAGUGUGUCCAGGAGAACAAUAUUGCCAAGAAUAUCUGGAUGGAUGGAGGUGGCCGGCAAAUCAUCAGAAGCAACUCAGACAGUCCAGAGGAGGAUGGCGCAGAGCCAGAGGAGGCACAGGGAGGCGGCAGGCAGAUCUGAGAGGCAUCACCAAGGCAGCACUAAGGAAGGAGGGUAGGGACAGUGACUGCCUCGGGCUGCUGCAGCUCAGGAGGCCGAAUGAUGCCCUUCACCAAGCAACACACGAUUAUGCUUCGGGUAGCAGCCCAGCGCUCUUCACUGGACUGAAGGCACCUCUUCUCUUUAGAGAGAGAACAUUUUCAAAGGUUAAGCCUAAAAAUCAGGACAGAUUUUACUUUGUUAUUGUUGUUUCUUGAGGCUUAAUUUUUUAAAAGCCUGUGUGCUGGCUGCUGAUGGCCUUGAUGAGAAAGUGGCUGUCAAUUAAACAGACAAGGGGGAUCCGAGGAAUCCAGGUCAGCACGAUUUCCUGAUCUGUGGCAGUGACCGUGACCUGACUGGACUUGAGCUGGAACUUCAAAUAACACCGUUAGCUCCUAAUCAUAUCAGAGGUGAUCUAACAUGACUUCCCACACCAUCCCCUUUCAAAGAUGCAAGUCACAUGGGCACGUCUGUAAAAUGCUGAAGGCUGCACUGUGUGAGCUGCACAAAUUCAAAGUUUUCUGACUUUGCCAGCCCAGUAACACUGCCAGGUGCCAGCUUGUGGCAUUUCUGUCAGAAACCCAGCUGGCAUGAAAGUGGGUUUUUAAUCCAGCCUGGAGUAGCCCCUGCAUUCAGAAAUUCUUUGCCUGACUACAGAAGUCUAAAUCAGGACUCACUUUCCCCCGAGCUAGAGGAGGAGGAAUGUGAAGCCUUGGAAAGAGUCGGCACCAUUCUGGGAGUCAGAUUAGUACACCCCAAGAAAGGGAGAGUGGCUGGGCCAGCUGCGACACAGUCCCCAACUGCUACCCGUUCCUCCACCGCCCACCAAGCCCAGAGCAGCCUCCCUCAGCCAGAAGACAGCUCGGAGGAUGGAAGACUGUUCAACUUGUGGCUUAAGCACAUUAUUAAAACCAAAGAGGAAAAUUCUUUGAAGAGACGGGGUGGAGCUGAAUUUAAGAGAAAUAAUAAAAACCAUGACCAGGUUUUUCCGUGUCUGUUUUUUCUCCCUCAUUUCUCCAGCAGCCUGGGGAGCACCGAUAGAAUAAUUCCCCGGUCAUUUCAUCAUGGAACUUCCCUUUCAUCAACCUUCCACUGAUCUACGUUGCCUGUGGAAUAAAGUCCAAAUGCCUUUGCUUGAUUCUCCCUCUUCUUCCUCACCAAGCAAACGCCUUUUUAAACUAAUAAUGGUGGCCACCUGUGUAGAAAGCAGAAGGAAUGAGGCAGGUGUGGGACAGGAAACGAGGUUGCUAAGGUAUCAGUCAGCCACUGCUGUGACAAGGCUGCAUAACAAAUGGCCCCAACGUGGAAAUGGCUUCCUGCAGCAAACGUGUGUUUUUCUUGCUUUGGGGUCUC